rnacentral:tRNA from 1 species
AAGGUGUCUGGCGGGAUGGCAAGCUGAUUGCCGUGCCUCGGUGAGGUCAUGCAACGAACCGUGAAGGAACGGUGUUCGCCUCCCUGACGUUCUU